CAAGGAUUGGGAUAUAAACCCAGGCAUUCGAGCCAGCGACAGCAACCCCCUUUGGGUCCUCUCCCUUUGUGUAGGAGCUCUGUUUUCACGCUACUAAAUCUUGCAACUGCACUCUUCUGGUCCGUGUUUAUUACGGCUGGAGCUGAGCUUUCACUCGCCCUGCACCACUGCUGCUGGCUGCCGUCACAGACCCGCCACUGACUUCCAUCCCUCCGGAUGCGGCAGGGUGUCCGCUGUGCUCCUGAUCCAGUGAGGCGCCCAAUGCCCCUCCCAAUCGGGCUAAAGGCUUGCCAUUGUUCCUGCACGGCUAAGUGCCUGGGUUUGACCUAAUCAAGCUGAACAUUAGUCACUGGAUUCCACGCUUCUCUUCCAUGACCCACGGCUUCUAAUAGAGCUAUAACACUCACCGCAUGGCCCAGGAUUCCAUUCCUUGGAAUCAGUGAGGCCAAGAACCCCAGGUCAGAGAACAUGAGGCUUGCCACCAUCUUGGAAGCGGUCUGCCACCAUCUUGGGAGCUCUGGGAGCAAAGACCCGCCAGUAACAUUUUGGUGACCACGAAGGGACCUCCAAAGUGAUUUCUUCAGAAGAUGAAAUAGAUCAUCUGCCUUAAGGUUCUGGACCAGUGUAUGCAACACAAUAAACGUUCAGGAAAUGGUUGCUAUGAUGAUGACGACGAUGAUUAUGACAACAAUGAUGAUGAUGAAAUGAGUUGGCUUCAGCCCAGAGCAGAAUAUGUUCCCUAAUAAAGUAUGAGGAUGUCAGCACAUGCCAUUUGUGUCCCACCCAAAGCUGCAAACUUACUUAAAGUUUAUCUGUAGCUUCAGGGGACAAUUUCCAUAAUGACUGAUGGCAUUUUACCCUGGGUUUGUGAAAUAUUACCAUACUUAUAACAGUCAGAGGUAUUGAAAAGGUAUGCCUGGAAAACAUUGUUCCUCAUCAUUCCUUCUACCAAAUAUUUAUUCUAUUCUCAUCAUUUCCUGUAGGUGGAGCGUGCCUGGAAGAUCAUACUUCGCCAUUUUUGUCUCUUAACAUGCAUGCCCAGGAAGUUGCUUCUCCCUGGGGCCUGCAUUCAAGUAACACGUUUAAUGUUAACAGGUGUGGAUCUUCAGGAGGUUGCCUCUCCCUGGCUGCAGAAUUAUCAUUUUUAGAGAAGCAGUGUGAUAAUCGUGGAACCAUCCCCUACAUUCCUUCACCCAGGAAGGAAGCAAUAUGAGCUGUGUGCACUGUACACUAUAGCAAUGGAGAAUCUGAUUUGACAAGCCAAAGAUCCUACAUUGGUUGCACACAUCAUGGAUAGCCUACGAACUUCCCUUUAAAGAAAGCUACGUAGAAGCAGGAUGAGUAAAAAUUUACAAACUGAAACAGGAACAUUUUCAAGGUGGAGCACAGUGGCGUGAUCUCAGCACACUGGAACCUCCGCCUCCCAGGUUCAAGCAAUUCUCCUGCGUCAUCCUCUCGAGUAGCUGGGACUACAGAUGUGCACCACCACACCUGGCUAAUUUUUUUGUAUUUCUAGUAGAGACAGGGUUUCACCAUGUUGGCCAGGCUGGUCUCAAACUCCUGACCUCGUGAUCCACCUGCCUCUGUCUCCUAAAGUGCUGGGAUUACAGGCAUGAGCCACCAUGCCUCGCCAAUUGAGAGCUAAUGGUUUUAAAGUGUGGCACUUCCCCAUGCACUCUCUCUCUCCUGCUGCCUUAUGAAAAACGUGUUUGUUUCCCCUUUACCUUCUACCAUGAUUGUUAAGUUUCCUGAGGCCUCCCCAGCCAUGUGAACCGAGUCAAUUAAACCUCUUUCCUUUACAAACUACCCAGUCUCAGGUAGUAUCUUUAUAGCAGUGUGAAAACAAACUAAUACACCAAAUAAGACUGAAGAAACUUAUGCUCAUCUCCAAACACUAUCUGCCAUGCUAUAAGCCAUUAGAACUCAUCUGUUUUACAAUCAGGUUUAAAGAAAGUAAGCUCAUGUCAAGGGCAGGGAUGAUUUCCAACAGAAUUGUGUUGCCCUCUCAUUAAUUCAAUGGCUAUAUUAAUUUUGAAAAUAAUGUAAUUAGCAAAUAGUGGCAGAAACAAUACACAUUUUCCCUCUCCUUUAUUUAAAAUGCAUGAUCAUGAUCUGUCAUUUAAUGAAUUCUAAAGAUAACAAAAUAUUAAAUUAUCUUCACCCUGCAAUAGAGGAUCAUGAAGCACAAAAAUGUAGAAAAGUAUGUUUUCCUGAGCUGAUGAUCUCCCAGUAGCAUGAG
rnacentral:lncRNA from 1 species